AUGAAGAUGUUCGUUUUUGAAGAGAAAUUGAAGGCUUGGCAAAUUGAAUUUAGAUGUGGUCGAGCCUGUGGAAGAUUUGGUGAUACGGGUUCAGAGCCCCCUUCAAACCAAAAUUCUGCUAUUGGGCCUAAUGAGGUUGGAGGCCCAGUGUUGAGAAAGAGUCAAAGGGCUAGAAAGCAAUCCAUUUGGAUGCAAGACUUUGCCUAA